UGAUAUGACUCGAAUUUAACAGGUCAACCUGAUUUUACUAAGAGCACCUCCAACGGGAGGUUUUAUUGGAAAAAAGUUGAGUCUCUCUUGUUUAAAGUGAAUAAAUAAAUUAAAAUACAGAAUAAGUUAGAGAAUCGGCUUUCUCGACAGAGUUUUUGGAAGCUGAGAGAGUCCCAUACGUGGCGCAUCGUGGUUGGCUCUUUUAGUUUUAACAAAAGCAAACAAAAAUAUUCUCCUCUCUCUACUUCUCUCUUCUCCAAUUGAACUUUCUGAAGCAAAGAUUUUUGCUUAUCUUAUCUGAAUCUUCGUCGCUAAUCUGAUAUAAAUUUGAAGAUAUGAUCAAAGCCACCAUGGAUCUUGGUUGCCUGGAUUUGGGAUGUCUUUCUGACAAGAAAAGCGGCGUCGGAGUUUCCAAUCUAAUGGAUUUUGUUUUCCCGUCUGAUGUCUUCCAGUGACAUUGAAUUGAGUUUCUUCCUGUUCACUAGAAAAAUUAGGGUUGGUAAUUUAGGCUCUCGUAUAGGGGAAUUGAAAAUGGCAGUUCCGGAAUAGUGAAGCUGUUGUUUGGUGUUGUUUAGGAGGUUGUGAGAUAGGAAGAUGAUUAAGCUUUGAUUGAUUUAGUUGUUUACAUGAUCUGCUUUUGUCGCAAUGCCAUCGUAUUAGUUGGAAAAUCUAGCUAACCACCUGGCUAAAUUAGUUCAUCCAUCAUGCUUCAAUAUGUUUUCUCUACUGGAAAUAUGAAUCUAAAGUUUGUAUGUUAUGAAAAAAUAUACUGUUGGAGUCAAAGAGUUGCAAAGGGUAUGGAUCCUUGUUUAUCCUAAGCUUUUUUUCCUGUAAAAUUUAUAAAUGGAGAUGAUUGUUUAAGUUGUAACAUUGAGACCUAGGUAGUAUAGUUUCCACUUAAAUCUCCAUCGUUUUCUUUUGAAAGCUGUCUAAGUGGAUACUCUGGAUACUAAUUUUCGUUAGAAAAAUCACUAGAGAUGGGUUCGUUUGGUUGUUUCAUAAAAUACUGCAAAACAAUAAUUUUGAUACCAGUUUUCUGCUAACUUCAUGU